GAUGAACGCUGGCGGCGUGCCUAAUACAUGCAAGUCGAGCGAACAGACGAGGAGCUUGCUCCUCUGACGUUAGCGGCGGACGGGUGAGUAACACGUGGAUAACCUACCUAUAAGACUGGGAUAACUUCGGGAAACCGGAUCUAAUACCGGAUAAUAUAUUGAACCGCAUGGUUCAAUAGUGAAAGACGGUUUUGCUGUCACUUAUAGAUGGAUCCGCGCCGCAUUAGCUAGUUGGUAAGGUAACGGCUUACCAAGGCAACGAUGCGUAGCCGACCUGAGAGGGUGAUCGGCCACACUGGAACUGAGACACGGUCCAGACGCCUACGGGAGGCAGCAGUAGGGAAUCGUCCGCAAUGGGCGAAAGCCUGACGGAGCAACGCCGAGUGAGUGAUGAAGGUCUUCGGAUCGUAAAAAUCUGUUAUUAGGGAAGAACAAAUGUGUAAGUAACUAUGCACGUCUUGACGGUACCUAAUCAGAAAGCCACGGCUAACUACGUG
rnacentral:rRNA from 1 species